rnacentral:sRNA from 1 species
CUUCUACAAGUCCUGCCUGAAGCACGGCAUCAAGCCGAUCAUCGGCUGCGAGAUGU